rnacentral:rRNA from 1 species
UACGUGUGGUCCGAGCGUUGUCCGGAAUGACUGGGCGUAAAGGGUGCGUAGGCGGGCACAUAAGUCAGGUGUGAAAUCCCCGGGCUCAACCUGGGAAGUGCGCUUGAAACUAUGUGUCUCGAGGCUGUCAGGGGUAAGCGGAAUUCCCGGAGUAGCGGUGAAAUGCGUAGAUAUCGGGAAGAACACCGGUGGCGAAGGCGGCUUACUGGGACAGAACUGACGCUGAGGCACGAAGGCGUGGGGAG